GCGCCCGUAGCUCAACGGAUAGAGCAUCUGACUACGGAUCAGAAGGUUGGGGGUUCGAGUCCCUCCGGGCGCG
rfam:Beutenbergia cavernae DSM 12333, complete genome.